rnacentral:rRNA from 1 species
GAUGAACGCUAGCGGCAGGCUUAAUACAUGCAAGUCGUGGGGCAGCAGGGUCGUAGCAAUACAAUCGCUGGCGACCGGCAAACGGGUGCGUAACACGUACGCAACCUUCCCGUUACUGUGGCAUAGCCCAGGGAAACUUGGAUUAAUACCACAUAUUAUAUAGAGGGGGCAUCUCCUUUAUAUCAAAGCUUCGGCGGUAACGGACGGGCGUGCGGUUGAUUAGGUAGUUGGCGGGGUAACGGCCCACCAAGCCUACGAUCAAUAGCUGAUGUGAGAGCAUGAUCAGCCACACGGGCACUGAGACACGGGCCCGACUCCUACGGGAGGCAGCAGUAAGGAAUAUUGGGCAAUGGACGAAAGUCUGACCCAGCCAUGCCGCGUGAAGGAUUAAGGUCCUCUGGAUUGUAAACUUCUUUUCUCUGGGGCGAAAAACAGCUAUUCUUAGUUGCUUGACAGUACCAGAGGAAUAAGCACCAGCUAACUCCGUGCCAGCAGCCGCAGUAACAC